rnacentral:rRNA from 1 species
GACGAACGCUGGCGGCGUGCUUAACACAUGCAAGUCGAACGGAAAGGCCCUGCUUUUGUGGGGUGCUCGAGUGGCGAACGGGUGAGUAACACGUGAGUAACCUGCCCUUGACUUUGGGAUAACUUCAGGAAACUGGGGCUAAUACCGGAUAGGAGCUCCUGCUGCAUGGUGGGGGUUGGAAAGUUUCGGCGGUUGGGGAUGGACUCGCGGCUUAUCAGCUUGUUGGUGGGGUAGUGGCUUACCAAGGCUUUGACGGGUAGCCGGCCUGAGAGGGUGACCGGCCACAUUGGGACUGAGAUACGGCCCAGACUCCUACGGGAGGCAGCAGUGGGGAAUAUUGCACAAUGGGCGGAAGCCUGAUGCAGCAACGCCGCGUGCGGGAUGACGGCCUUCGGGUUGUAAACCGCUUUCGCCUGUGACGAAGCGUGAGUGACGGUAAUGGGUAAAGAAGCACCGGCUAACUACGUGCCGGCAGCCGCGGUGAUACGUAGGGUGCGAGCGUUGUCCGGAUUUAUUGGGCGUAAAGGGCUCGUAGGUGGUUGAUCGCGUCGGAAGUGUAAUCUUGGGGCUUAACCCUGAGCGUGCUUUCGAUACGGGUUGACUUGAGGAAGGUAGGGGAGAAUGGAAUUCCUGGUGGAGCGGUGGAAUGCGCAGAUAUCAGGAGGAACACCAGUGGCGAAGGCGGUUCUCUGGGCCUUUCCUGACGCUGAGGAGCGAAAGCGUGGGGAGCGAACAGGCUUAGAUACCCUGGUAGUCCACGCUGUAAACGGUGGGUACUAGGUGUGGGGUCCAUUCCACGGGUUCCGUGCCGUAGCUAACGCUUUAAGUACCCCGCCUGGGGAGUACGGCCGCAAGGCUAAAACUCAAAGGAAUUGACGGGGCCCCGCACAAGCGGCGGAGCAUGCGGAUUAAUUCGAUGCAACGCGUAGAACCUUACCUGGGUUUGACAUGGAUCGGGAGUGCUCAGAGAUGGGUGUGCCUCUUUUGGGGUCGGUUCACAGGUGGUGCAUGGCUGUCGUCAGCUCGUGUCGUGAGAUGUUGGGUUAAGUCCCGCAACGAGCGCAACCCUUGUUCACUGUUGCCAGCACGUUAUGGUGGGGACUCAGUGGAGACCGCCGGGGUCAACUCGGAGGAAGGUGGGGAUGACGUCAAGUCAUCAUGCCCCUUAUGUCCAGGGCUUCACGCAUGCUACAAUGGCUGGUACAGAGAGUGGCGAGCCUGUGAGGGUGAGCGAAUCUCGGAAAGCCGGUCUCAGUUCGGAUUGGGGUCUGCAACUCGACCUCAUGAAGUCGGAGUCGCUAGUAAUCGCAGAUCAGCAACGCUGCGGUGAAUACGUUCCCGGGGCU